GUAUUUUCUCUUCCCCAGUGCAUAUACUAAAACGGGAGCAAAGCAGAGAAGAUUUGCAUGGCCUCUGCACAAGGAUGACAAUCACAUUACUAAAAGGAGUAUGUCUGU